rnacentral:lncRNA from 1 species
CGAUGUGGACAGAGUCUUAUCAGAGAACCUGUGUGUCUGAGAUAGAGGUAGAGUUCUGUGAAAUAUAAUUCUUCAGCAUUGCCUGUUAGGUCACAUUCUUUGUUUAUAGUUGAUCAAAGCUUUGGGCUCUGACAGAUGAGUAAGUGAUAUUUGUAGUUUCCAGGGCUGUUCUAACUUUCUAACCCUUUUGAUUUUCACAUAUAUGUCAAUAGAAAGGUGAAGGAAAGUGAAUCAGAUAUUCAUUGCUGUCAGUAAGUUUCCAUGUGAUUUUUAUGUUUAUG